UUUCAGUUUCUUCUACAGAGAUCUUUCUCGAUUUCUCUUUUCUCUUUCCGGUUUUGAAUCUCUCUAUUUGAUUACUUACUCUACGAAUCUCGCCCUACUCCAUGUAGAAAACGUGGAGAAGAAAUUCAGAUCAGUUAUUUUUUUAGAUGAAGAAAAUCUCGAUCUGUUUGUUUUUUUUUUUUUUUUGGAUCUCGAAGAGAUGAAACCAAUGUUGCAUCGAUUUUAGUGAAAUUCCUUCAAAUCUAAAGUAAUUCCAGACAUGCAUAGAUUAGAAGGGGGAUAUUGUUCUAGAUCUUAUCAUGAAUCGGGCAUAUUCUUCUUUGGAAUCUCUUUAGGGGAAAUUUUAACUUCGUUAGACUGCGGACCGAAGUUAGAUCUGAUGAGAAAGUGUUGAAAUCCUGCCGAUUUCUGGUUGAGACGGUCCUUCGAGAGCAUCCUAAUCCGUCUUAAGUGGAGAAGGUGAAACUAAUCCUUGGGGAGCAUGAAAAAGAACUUAGCGAAGCACUUGAGAAGGUUGUUGGUGUAUUAGACGAUGGAAUCGCAUUGAUUUGCAAGGUGAUUAUAGCUGAAAUAGUCGAUACAUGGGGCUGUUGGACACUUUGAUGUCCCUGUUUGAUAGGCUGUGUCAAAGAUGAUUGGGUUUCUGUACCUCUGUUAUGUGGGUAAGAGCAAUUGGAGUCUUAUGGAAUGGAUCAGUUGUACCUCUGUUAUGUGGUACACUCUGGAUCUUAAAUCAUUUAUAUUGUCUAUGGUUUUUAUGCUCUUUUCAGUUUCUUGAUCAUGUAACCUAAAACUAUUUGAGAGUUGUUUGUGUUUAGGAGUGUAAGAUCAUAUAUCAUGUAAUGUCAGUGGUGGUCUCUUUAUACUUUAUAUCAUAUGCAUUUGGUCUCAAGAUCCUGGUAACUCUUUCUGUGAGUAGUUUUGGACUUGGGCAAUUCUGAAGAAUACCUCUCGAGUUUUGGUCCUGAGCAAUUCUGAACAAUACCUCACGAAAUAUACAUUUACUGAUGGCCGCCAUCCUGGAGCGACAUUGGACCGAAAUGGAUUGCGCCCCAGUCGCUUUUACAUUACACAUAGUGGACACGUGAUCAUGGCCAGUGAGGUUGGUGUUGGAGACAUCUUGCCAGAAGAUGUGGCUAGGAAAGGAAGACAUCUGAUCGGUCCAAAGGGACCUUACUGAAACAGUUCAUGUGGAAGGCUAGGAAAGGAAUACAUUUGUAGUUUGUUUUUAAAACUUUAAAUAGACCAUUAAUUGUUUUGUUGA